rnacentral:tRNA from 1 species
GGAGAGUUGUCCGAGCGGUUGAAGGUGCAACACUCGAAAUGUUGUGUGGGGAAACCCACCUAGGGUUCGAAUCCCUAACUCUCCGCCA